AAGGGCUUCGUCUCCAACUGAACCCGCGCAGGAGUCGGACGAAGGCGCCAUCGUCGAUCCUCCUGACCCCCGCGCACUUCGAGGAUGGCCGCGGCCUAUAAAGGGACUAGCCCUGUGCAGCGCUCCACCUUCGAAACCCUAUCCGCCCCUAGCUCUAGCGCUCCGAAGCUCCCGCACGCAGCUGCCAUCGCCGCCGCCCCCGGAAAAGGUCGUCCCGCCGCCGUCGAUCUCUUCCCCCUGCAACGUAUCCCUCGGCGAGACCUACACGAUGGCCAUCGCGCGAAGGCUAUGAACCCGCUGCUGGAGGUUUCAAUCUGUUAAGAAGCAAUCCAUAGCCUCAGGAGGUUGACCAAUAUGAUUAGAGGAUCUCAUCCACAAGGAUUAGUGGCUUGUAUUAAUCCUAGUCUUAGAAUCUAAUCCAACGAUCAAAUGUAAAUCUCUCUGUGACACAACCAUAAUUUACAUAAGGCCUACUCCUCCUCUUUUGGAACCGA